GUAGUGUGAUACACGAAAAAACAAGCUCUCUUUUGUGACCGGUUCGCGAGAAUCCCGCGCUGUGUUGUGGUCCUUACCAUCCUCAACCCUCCAGAAAAUACCCCUAAGAAGACCUGGCCGGGCAGACGACGACGCGGGAAACCAUUGAGGUGGGUUUAAUCGUUUCGGGUGUUGUAUGUCCUACCGUUUUCUUGCCGCUCUUUCCCGUAAAAUUUUGAGAGUGAUUUACAACCACCUUCCCCCAACCCUUUACAAUGCAUAUCACAAUUUUUCUUGAUUAUACAUGUUCCUUUACCUACACCCACCUUCCUAUACCUAUACCUAUGUCUUAAUAUUCUCCAUUGCUGACUUUUAUUCCAACUGGCCAUGCAGAAACGUAUUGUCAGAUGCCAAAGAGAGUAUUUCUUUGAAACAAAAGUGCGAAAUAAACACCGUACAGAAAGUAACCGUUAAUGUAAAUAUUCAAUAUGUCCCCCAUUUUGUAGUAACCAUUCCACAAUGCGGUCCACGGCAGACCUUGUUGUCAUGCUCUCUAUUUCCCCUUGAUAUAAUGAGUCUAAAUUUCUGGGUAUUCGAACAAUUAAUUCGUAAACAUUAGUAUUAUUAUUAUGUCGAUUGUUUGUAAUAAAAAUGUCUUCCCUUGUAAAUUUGUAUUUAUCAGUCCAAAUUAUGAAUGAAUUAAGAAUUAGGAAUAUCUCGCAAAAUUGUGUACGCCCGGCAAAACCUUCUUGGUGGAGAGGGUACGCGGUAUUAAAUUUACAGGGGUGCAAUCCAUUCUGUUUCAAAAUCCUGUAUACGAAAUUUCUUGACAUCCCCAAAUCUUUUUCCACAUGCGCAUGAAAAUAAACUAACACAUUAAUGAUAUUUCCAUUUAUACCAUUUUCCCCAAACAUUUUUUUCAACCUUCUGAUUAAUGAAUUAAUCAGAAAGUUCUACUCACAACUCUGCUGCACUCCCCAAGUAUUACCAAGAAACCCAGAAUUUUAUUCAUUCAAAUUCCGGGCACUUUUUCUUGUAAUUUUUCGUCGAGAAACUUCAUUUCAGUGAUAACUGACAAUACGUUUCUGCAUGAGGUCAUAUCCCAAGUGUAAUAACAAUAUUUAUUUUGUUUCCAACAAAACUUCCAAUGGAAACCCUGUAUGUGAUAAAAAGGAGCACAUCUCCCUAAGCCGUUAUUAUAUACUGCAAAAAAUACCUCACUGAGAUUUUAGGUUAAAUUUGAGGAAUUUGAGGUUGCUUCAUGACUUUUCUUUUAAAAGCCCUCUGGAAUAAUUAGGUUACCAAUUAAAAAAAAUAACCAUUUUGUUGACCCCUUUUUAUUGUCAUAAAUAACUUAUUUAAUUAACUCUUGCAUUAUAAACUCACUCUUUUUCACUCUUUUCGGAAAAGUGGAAGAUUGUCAAAGUAAAUCUUCUCGCCAAAAUCUCUAGUCCUGUAACUUGCAAUAAUAUUCGACCAUUUUGCCUAGCUUUGACAAGAUUUUUGAAAAAUUAAAAAAAAAAAAACAAAUUGAAAAAUAUUUGAAGAAAAAUGAAAUAUUACCUCAAAACUUAUGACUGCUCGACUACACAAAAGCUUUUGAUGCUUUAAGUCGUCGUUUAAAAUUAAAAUGAAAGCUGUAAAUUGUAGACAUCCAAAUUCUGAAUGAAUUUGAAAAAGGGAGUUCCAGAGAGUUUUGUACUAGGACCAAAGAUAAUUUCUAUUUAUACUUCAAAAUUUUCACCUGCCUUAUCUUAUAUCAAUUUAAAAAUUCUGUAGUAAACUCAUACGAAAAAUGUAAAAUUCAUGUCUUCUACUAAUAGAGAUAAUAAUAAAACUUCAUAGAAUUGCCAGAAAAUUAUUAAUUUAAGAUCUCCACAUCUUUACAAUAAAAUAAGUUUUAGAAUUGAUGUCCACAAACUUAAUAUUAGUCUCAAAUAUACAAUAAUUUUUCGAGCUUUCUUUUUAAUGUAGAUCUAGCAGACAUCCUUUUAACACGCCGUAAUACUAAAAAUUUAUUUCUUUUUAACAAACCAAUUCAAUUGCAAGUACCCUAAAACUUAUAUCUGCCAGUUUGAAGAAAACUUUCGAUUGCUCUUUUGAAAGUAGAGCGAUGUAAAUGAAAUAUUCUUACAAUAUAUAUGAGCAAGUGCAUUAGGGAAAUAACGAGCAAAAAAAUAAAUUACUCCUCCCGAGUCUGUAGUCUACCAACUUUAAUGCAAAAACGAGUAGGAAUCUUUUAGAAGGUAAAAAUAAGUCCUAUGUCACCAAUGGUUCCAAAUAUUUCUUUGCUGCAUGCUGACGUGGUGACGUUUCGUCCAUCGUCCUCUUGGUGAAAUGUCAGCAAGUUUGAAUUAUAAAGAACCAAUGCAGGAGGAAUCGAGAAGUUUUGUAAAUAGUAUUACAGUAGCCUGUGAAAGUUUCUUUGAAAAAUUAGCUAAAUCGUAGAUAGUAUAGGAGAUGGAUCCGCUGGAAGUAAACUCACAUAUACUUGAAUUUUUUAGAGCUGCUAAAAACAUGUUAUGCAUUGUCUGGUUUUUAAUAUAGAUAGGCAUAGGUUCCUACAAACUCAUUUAUGUUCUUGUUCCCUUCCAUAAUUUUUUGCUCUCUGCUUUAUUUCCCAAUGUAAUUUGGACCCUACUGCUAAUGCUAAAGUUUUCUUGGCAUGUACUUUGAGCCCGUAGUCUGACCUUGUGAAAUAAAUUACUUUACAUUACAUGCUUGGUUAUAAUAGAUUAAUUGAGUUUGCUGUACAUGGAAUUAAAAGUUUACUAGCCGAUUAAUGUUGUUCUUUGAACUUUAGGAAGACAGAUCGACGGAUGUCGUUCACAUUGCGAUCGACGGAUGUGAAUGUGAGUGUCGAUAGUGGAAGGGCCCAAUAAAAGUACGGAAGUAGAAGAAUUACAUUUCCUUUAAAGUAGUGACCUGUUUAUUUUGCUCUUAAAAAUGAACCGAUAAUCAUAAAAACAUGAACCACGAAACACUGUAGAACAUAAUUGGAUCUUAAAACUUAGCAACGUAAUUAUUCCACAGGGUAAUCUAAAAUUAACCCCAUGAAUUCAUUUGGCCCCGUAUAAUGACGCCAACAUUUAUCAUUUUAUCGAGAGUUUUCUGAAACAUUUAUCAAAGUCAGUUUAAAAUAAUAGAAUUUUCCACAGCCUAUCCGAUCUAACAUAUUCCGCGUAUGGUUUAAAUAUAUGUUUUUCUUUAUAUGUAUUGUCAUCAUAAAAAUAAUAAUUAUAAUCGAAUGCAUUUUCAAUGCUGUACGUGUUGAACAACAGUAACGUGCCUUUUCUGGAUUAAUAAUAUAGUGAAACAAGGUUUUAAUACAAUAAAGCAUUGAAUUUCGGAUAACCAUAGUGCUCUAGUUUUAUGCAGUGUUACUUCGUAAGCACUUUUAAUUAAUAACAAAUUAAUCUAAUUAUAAACAUUAAUAUUAUUUAGGACAGCAAAAUUCGCUGUGAACCGAGUUUCAAUCAAUUUCAGUUUUUAUAAAAGCGAUGAAUAUUUUGAUAGCAACUUUUUGUAGUGCUUUAUUGGCAUAUCAAAGCUGCACUUAUGUUAUUAAUUUUGUUUGGUUCUUCAAAAACAACGAACGAAUAAUAGUAAUAUUAUUAUUAAAUUAGUAAUUUGGUCAAUAGCACAAAUGUUAUUUGCCGAAUUUUUGAAAACUGGAGAAAUUUGGAUUAUAUGACAUACACGGGUUCCCACUUAAGAACUUGCACUAAAACCUUGUUUUGCUUACUGCUUGAACUUAAAGUUAAGGGACUAUUGAACAAAAGAGAGAGAGAAGUACUGUUAGAAUUUUACCAGUUUCCAUGAGUUUAAACGCAGGGUGUUUGAAAUAUUAUUCACGCAUAUUCCUGUAAAACCUCUUUUCUACUCCCGCCUGUAAAAUAGUUCCAAAAUGUCAUUCACGUUUAUUUAUAAACGAGUUUUUUAAACAGAUUUAAAUUUCGCGGUAGUAUUGAUUGAUUAACUGAUAAUUAAAUUACUGUCUGGAAACAUCAUUCAGUUUUGUGAAACGGAAAAUCAAGAAGUACUUUUAGUGAUUUUUUAAAGCCAAAAAGGUAAUAGAUUCCUAUUAAGGAAUACUUAAAAGUAACUAGACCAGCGACCAAAGUUUUUAGUGUUUUAAAAAAUUCAAAAUUUUAGUAGAAAAAUAACGAUUAUUUUGUAUGUGCUUUUAGGAUCUUACAUAUAGGUUUUAAUUAUGAUUUUUUUUUUAAAUUAUGAUAAAAUAUUUAUUAUGGAAAAAUUAUUUUUAGUAUCAUUUUAAAAGAAAAACAUUAAUAAAUUCACAUUAUUCGAAAGCUAUAACGUAGAUACUAAUUUUCUUAAACGACUAAGGAAUAAAUGAUGCAAUCUGGAAAAGCGUCCGAGAUAUAUGAAUUAAAUCGAACUCUUCAAUUUUUAUUCAUUCAAACCGAUUAUAUUUUUUAGUUGGAAAUUUAAAGUAAUAUUGUUAGGUACCUUUACGGGAAACAUUUUAGAUUUUAGAAAGAGUUUUAAUAUAAAAAAAAACAAGGACCAUAUAUUUACCAGACAGUCGAAUAUUCAUUACUUCACAACAAGCUAGCCUUUAAAAAAGAACCACACUUACUUUUAAGAAAAACUCGUUAGUGCCUUUCAGCAAAAUCGACCCAAAAAAAAAGAGUAAAAUUGAGACAUAAACAAAAAUUCAGUAUUGCCAAGCGAGACGUCCCUGAUAUUUCGAACACUCGUUCUUAAUGGAAAUUAGUUGGGUUUCAUAUAGUCCUCAAUAAGAAUUCCUUGACACUUUUUAUUCUUAAAUGAGAAUGUAUAAAACAUAUCUAAUUUGAGGACGCGUUUGAAGUAUGGCACAUUGAAAAAGUUCCAAAAUGUCAUUUAUCUAAAAACGAGUUUCUUAAACAUAUUUAAAUUUCGCGGUAGUAUUGAUUUGACUCUUAACUGAUAAUUAAAUUAUUGUCUGGACACAACAUUCUCUCUGCGUUCUAAUUCCAGAUUCAGAAAAUAAACCUCUAUGACAUAAACCAGUUUAUGUGUUUUUAAUGGUUAGUUAUCUAAUGCAUAAAAGUGGGUUUCAUACCGGCAAAAUCAUAAAAUGCACUUUACGGCCGGCACGGCUAUAUAGACGUAUUUUGAUACUUAAGUUUGGCAGCUUUUUCAUGUACUAAUGACAUAAUAACCAAAGGAGAUUGCAUGGAUAUUUGUUUUUCUACUACCGUCUGUAAGAUACCUAAUUACACACCGAGCUGGCACUACGGACAAUUCCGGGAUUUUACCGGACGAGUUUGAGAGCAAUCGGAUGUUUUCGGAGAUAUUUUGUUACAGGCUAGAUUUACCCCAAAUCAGAAAAUUGCUUUUAGUUAAAUAUCUAAGUUUAAUCCAGCAGUAUUAAUUAACAUAAUUUUAACAGGUACAAAUAAUAGGCAUAUAUACAACUAUAAAAGGGAUAGUCAUUAGUUUCAUCUCCUCUAUAUUCCAGCUCACGUCUCGUCUUUCCUUCUCAUCCAUCUAAACACAAAUGGUGCAUGCGCCAGUAAAACACUAAAAAAAAAGAUAAAAUCAUGUUUAUAAGUCAGUUUUAGGCAUAUUAUCGGUACUCAACUAGUGUACAAUGUUUGCACCUUGCACUUACCUGAAAUUCAGUUGGGUGUUCAUAAUAAUUGGUUGUGUCACCGGCGACAUCGAGGUUUCCAAUCCAAAUUGCGGACAUAUUUAACCUUACUCUUGGAAGCAUAUUUUAAGGUUGAUUCAGUUGUUAUCACGUUUUGUGGAUUUGAAUAUAUUGGGCAACGCGAAUUUAAACAACUCUGAUAACUAGCGAGGAAGGCCACUAACAACCUGGCCUUUUAUUUCUGGACAUUAUAAAUGACCCUAUCAAAAUAACAAGCACUAGUUUGUUCGGACAGCUAGCGACAGGCAUUUUCUUUUGUCAAUACCUCCAAGAAGGUCGCCCAAGGUGAACGGUGAAGUUUGUGUCUCGACGACCUUUGAGAUUGAGGAACGUUCAUUCCAGAAUAUUCUAGACAGUCAUGCUGAUUAACAUCCACCAGAGGAAAAUAGAGCAAUAGCAGUAAAAUUUGGUAUUUAUGUUUGCGCUGAGAAUCAACCAACACCUGCAAACUGUUCUCUACAGAGUCUGUAAUGUUCAGAUAUCUUGGAAUUCAGUUAAGAAUAAAUUAAGGGAAUUUGCAAAAAGAGCCAGUUUGCCUCUUACUGCUCCCUUGUUAACCAACAUCGUCUGGCACGUUUAAGGGUCGCCAGAGAACAUGUUAAAAUUGGAAUAUCCACAACUGAGCUGAUGUUAUUUUUACGGAUGGGUCAAGGUCUGAUCAUAGAUAUAAGAAAGUGACCAAUUGCUUUUGAAUUGAAUAUCCAAGAGUGGUCAUUAACACACAAUGCAACAAGAUUAUUACUAUAAUUAAUAAUGAAUUAAUUAAUAAUUACCUUAAUGUAAUACUAAUCUUGUUGCAUUGUAUAUUAAUGACCCUUGGAUAAUCCGUUCAAAAGCAAUUAGUCACUUUCUUAUAUCUAUGAACAGAUCAUACUAGGGCUGCUACUUAUAUAUCUGGCCAAAUAAUAAAAAAAACAAAUAUUUAUCAUCGAAAUUGGUUUUGGUGUUUUUCAAAAUAUUUUCCAUGAAGAUUAAUGCAGUUUUGCAUGCGUUGGAACCAACCUUUGGCAGCUUUUCCACUCUGAUUGAGUUAGCUUCAAAACAGUUCUUUUGAGCACAUUAAAUGGUUCUUCAAACGUAGAAAAUCGUUGACCACGUAACUUUUUUUUUAAUGUGCGGGAAUAAAAAGAAGUCUUUAGGUGCCGAAUCAGGGCUGCACGGCGGGUCAAUUCGAUGUUUUGGAUAUUCAAAAAUUUCUUUUCAUUAGUGAUGUGUGAGAGCUCGCAUUGUCAUGAUGAAGUAUGAUUCUGUUUAUUUUGACGAAUUUUUUCGAUGACUUCGGGCAAACAAAUGGUCUUACGUCUCUCUAACGGCACUGUGGCUACGUGACCGAGAAAACAAGCAACCAUUUGCUUCGAUGUGCUUCUUCGGCGAACAACUUUUGUUGGAUUUUGUUCAUCUAGGUCGAUUGCUUAUGAACAGAUCAAUGAUUCGUUAUCUGUGCGGAUCUUAUAGACCGCUUUUAAAACUCCACAUUAAUAUUUUUCCAACAUUUGUUUGCACCAGUCGACACGAGCCUUUUGCUUGUCAUACUAAUCGUCAGGAUGCCUCAAUAUCACCAUAUGUCUGUCAUAUAACACCAUCUUGCAUUAUAGGUCAACCGUAGCAUCGAUGUUUUGUGGCACAACAACUGAUUUUGGACAAUCUUCACGAAAUUCAUCUUGAAGCGAACAUCGACCAUGAUUGAAUUCUUUUACAAAUUUUUCACAGAGCUGUAAGGUGGUGCUUCUUCGCCAUAUAAAAAAUUAAGUUCAUCGGUGCAUUCUUUUCUUGGUAAUCCAUGUCGAAAUUGAUUGUUUGAUUGAUAAAAUAUGAUUGUAGAUCAAAACGUUCUGAGAACAUUUGACCUAAAAAUUAUUAAAUUUUUCAAUUGAAAUGUCAGAUUGUACCUAAACCCACUCGAUGUUGCCAAGGCUAGAAAUAUAAGUAGCAGCCUUCGUAUUUAUUACUAGUAUCUGAUAGACGUAUUCCAGUUUACAGAAGUGCAGAAAUUUUGGAGGUGAUUGUGAUUGAGCGAGGCAUUUGUUCUCAAAUAGUAUUUCGUGGGGUAUCCUCAACAGCUGGUUGGUAUAUAAGAGAGGUUCUUGAGGAAAAUAUAGUGCCGUUUGUUCAACCUAUUAGAGGUGGACGUUCAAAUUAUAGCUUCGCCAGCAGUGAAUCCGGAGCCAAACCCAAUGGAACAUAUUUGGGACUACGUAGGAAGGAGCAUGAGAGCAUGAGUAAUAUUGUUCCAGAGAAUCUUGAUGAACUGGAAAAUACCUAAAGAGAAGAAUGGAAAAAAUUAAACUUAGGGUAUAUAAGAGCUUUACCUUCCACGGAAGGUGAGAAACAUCAUUAGAGUUAGAGCUGGCAAUAGCAGAUACUGAAUUGCUAAAAUUAUUUUUGAAUUUUUUUAUUUUUUUACUUUACCUUUUGAAUUUUUUUUCCAUCCAUCCAUCCAUCUAUUAUUAAACCGUCCUAAGUUUAAUUUCUUCGCAAUUUUAAAUAGAUUUAGGUUUUAGGAAGACAAAUGUUUAGGCAUUAGGUAUUUGCAUAGUU